rnacentral:rRNA from 1 species
UACGGAGGGAGCUAGCGUUGUUCGGAAUUACUGGGCGUAAAGCGCACGUAGGCGGCUAUUCAAGUCGGGGGUGAAAGCCCGGGGCUCAACCCCGGAACUGCCCUCGAAACUAGGUAGCUAGAAUCUUGGAGAGGUCAGUGGAAUUCCGAGUGUAGAGGUGAAAUUCGUAGAUAUUCGGAAGAACACCAGUGGCGAAGGCGACUUACUGGACACAUAUUGACGCUGAGGUGCGAAAGCGUGGGGAGCAAACAGG